rnacentral:rRNA from 1 species
UCUGCAACUCGACUACAUGAAGCUGGAAUCGCUAGUAAUCGCGGAUCAGAAUGCCGCGGUGAAUACGUUCCCGGGUCUUGUACACACCGCCCGUCACACCAUGGGAGUCAGUAACGCCCGAAGCCGGUGACCCAACCUAAUCAGGAGGGAGCCGUCGAAGGCGGGAUGGAUGACUGGGGUGAAGUCGUAACAAGGUAGC